ensembl:rRNA 5S_rRNA 5S ribosomal RNA
AACGAUAAAAACAGUUUUUAAAAGGCUGUUCUUAUCAGAUCACAGUAGCUCAGCAGGGUUGCACUUGGUUAGUAACUGGAUAGGAAGCCACAAGGGAAUACCAGGCUUUUCAUCUUUG